GGGCUGGGGGUCAAACCUGCAACCCAGGUACGUGCCCUUGACCAGGAAUUGAGCCCGAGACCUUUUGGAGCGCAGCCGAUGCCCUAACCACUGAGCCACCGGCCAGGGCCAGCCGAUCUGUUUACAGAGGAGCACAGAGGGGGUCUCGACGUUCUGCCCUCCCAGGAAAUCGUGCCACGACUGGAUCGGACCCCCAGAUAAACACUCAAACCUGCGGCCCGUUCACUUCCACGUCCCCGAGGACGAGUCCGCAGCGGAACGGAAGCUCCGGGAGCUCCGGCAGGACACGCAGGAAUGGAACCAGCAGUUCUGGGCCAACCAGAACGUGACUUUCCGCAAGG